rnacentral:rRNA from 1 species
GACGAACGCUGGCGGCGUGCUUAACACAUGCAAGUCGAGCGAGGCCCUUCCUUCGGGGAGGUGCCCUAGCGGCGAACGGGUGAGUAACACGUGGGCAACCUGCCCCUAGCUCUGGGAUAACCCCGGGAAACCGGGGCUAAUACUGGAUAUGACCUUGGAAGGCAUCUUCUGGGGUGGAAAGAUUUAUUGGCUAGGGAUGGGCCCGCGGCCUAUCAGCUUGUUGGUGGGGUGAUGGCCUACCAAGGCGGCGACGGGUAGCCGGCCUGAGAGGGCAACCGGCCACACUGGGACUGAGACACGGCCCAGACUCCUACGGGAGGCAGCAGUGGGGAAUCUUGCGCAAUGGGCGGAAGCCUGACGCAGCAACGCCGCGUGAGGGAUGAC